AUGUACCACUCGUACACUGCGGUUCCUGUGCGCCGUCCGCACCCACCUGACGGCUGCUCGCUACGUUUUGUUAGCU
rnacentral:sRNA from 1 species